rnacentral:lncRNA from 1 species
UUCGGAAGAGCAGUCGGGUGCUCUUACCCACUGAGCCAUCUCACCAGCCCUUGCUCCUUUUUCUUAUAGAUCCGUGUAAGAGUGACCACUAAUAAUAACAUAACAAAGUUAAUAAUGCUGUUUUGAGAUUUCCUCUGCCAAUGUAAUUAAUCCAAAACUUUUCACUUUAGUUUUAGGCAGUCUUUUUGGACAAGGGCAAAAAGCAGAAACAUUCUCCACCAAAACAUCCCAGAACAGUCUCUAAGCCACAUAGUAAAAUUCUUCUCUGAAACCUCGUGAGCUACGUCCCCAUAGUUCAAAUCACCCUCAGUGCUGUGCUCUUCUGUGCUUCUAAUAGUAUGACCCAUUAAGACCCACUUAAAGUAUUCAAUUGCUCUUUAUAAUCCAAAGUUCCCAAAUUCACAAUUCUACAAUAAAAAGCAUGCUCAGGCCUGUCACAGCAAUACCCCACUCCUGGUACUAACUUCUGUUGUAGUUAAGAUUUUAUUGCUGUGAAGAGACACGGUGACCAUGACAACUCUUAUAAAGGAAAACAUUUAAUUGGGCCUGGCUCACAGUUUCAGAGGUUUAGUCCAUUCUUAUCAUGGUGGCAUGCUAGCAAAUGUAGUGCUGGACAAGGAGCUGAGAGUUUUGCAUGUUGAUCUGAAGGCAGUAGUCUUGUUGCAUAUGUUGCUAUCAGUUAACAUAGUGGGUUUUAUCUUCAAGCUGAUGAUGAAGAAAUGGUGUUUUGUCUAAUUUACUCAGUUCUUUGAUUUCUAUUAAUGUAUAUUUUUCCUGUUCGUUGAACAUGUUUUCUGUUUUGGAGUUUUCUGUUGAUGUUUUUUGUUACCAUUAUUAGUUUUCUAUGGCUGAUAAAAAUUACCAUAAUUUUAAAUGACUUUUCCUCUUCAUAGUUGUAAGCUAGAAGUCCAAAAUCAUUAUCUAAUACAUUCCAGGUGUGAGCAGGGCUGUGUGUUUUCAGGGGCCAUAGUGAAAAAUCUGUGCCUUUGAGUUCUCCUCUUCCUGGUAGUGUUCCUUGGCCAGGAGGGACUUCAUUUCCGUCUCUGCCAUUGUGGCCACAUUGCUUUUUUCUCUUCCGUGUGUAUCUGUCUAGUCUUCUGCCUUUCUCUUGUAAGGAUGCUUAUGGUUCCUGUCAUCUGGGAUAAUACCCGAUCUCAGCAUCCUUAGCACAUCUGUAGAAACGAUCGUAUCGAGUAACACUUUCUGUAAAUUUGUAAUUUCUUUGCUCUAGUACCCAAAUGGUAUAGUUUUCUUACUACUAUGUUGACUUCUGGAUAUUUUCAUAUCAAUUUUUAAUAUAGUCUCUCUCUGACCUCAUUUUUGGUUGUCCUUUUUUAACAUUCAUUUUUAAGUAAAAUGUUAGAAAACAUGUUCUUAAUUAAUUACUUAAUUGAAGAUUGCAAGCUCCAUGCAUUUUGUAUUUUUCUUUAUUUACUUAAUACCCUUUCUUGGUGAUCUCUCCAUGUAUAUAGGCUCUUUGUUUAUUAAGGAUGCUAACUUCUUUUCUGGCACUUGAGCUGAAUAUUUUCUUAGUUAUAUUGUUUGUUUAAUUUUGCUUGCCUUGAACAUAUUAAAGCUUUUAAUUUUUAGCCAGUCAGACCUCUUUUAUGCUUCUUUUAUUUUCGUGAUGAGAUUUUUUUGCUACCUCAGGAUCAGUAACUAUGAAUCAGUAUAAAGUGUCCUUUUUUUUUUUUUUUUUAAUUGUUUCAUUUAAAAAGCUUUAAGUUUUUGGAGUUAACAAUGAUUUUUCUGCCUCUUUUAUAAAGUAUGCCCUUUUGUAAUAUUGUUAAAUUCAAUGUUGUUUUUCUGUUGAUCUUUGGUACCCUGACCCAUCAUACCUGAUUCUGUAGAUGUGAUUAUUUUUAUGUGGAGUUCAGUAUAGUAUAAUAUAGUAUGGUAUAGUAUGGUAUGGUAUGGUAUGUAGUAUUUCUAUGUGUGAAAAAGUCACACAUAGGAAGAGCCUCUUUGGCUGUUUGGGCUUCUGAUGAGAGCCUCUCUGGGUGAUGGUUUUACAGUGAUGGAAACACUUGACAAGUCACACCAUGAGGACAGGAAACCAAGAAGGUCCAGAGUGCAGGCUUGUUCUUGGUUUUACAGUUUGCUCUCAUAUAAACUAGCCAGCAAACCCAAAGGAACCAUGUGAAUCUGUUCAGGGAUCAGCACUCUCGAGUGGCUGCAGUAGCCUUUCCUCUUAAAUAAAGGUCCUACCACCUGCUCAGUGCAGGACAAACCUCCAAAGUAUAGGGGGAUGCUUUAAAACCACAGCCAAACCUUUUCACACUUUAACUCAGGUCUCAGCUUGUGCAGCAAAUGCUCUUACCCAUGGAGUCAUCUUUCUAGCCACUCUUGCUAUUUUGAAUGAGAUCUUUGCCACCAUUUCUACUAGGACGAGACUCUAGAGUUUACUACAGAUUUUAAUUCUACCACUGCUUUUAUUUUUCUUAGUUAAAAAAGCCUUUUGUGGAUUUCAGCUUGCCUUUUAUAUUUUAUCGUCUUUUUGUUAUUAAACAGUUCUGAAUUUUGACCUCACUAACAUAUAUUCUAAGCAUACUUAGGUUUGUAUAGUUAAAAAGUUUUAAAAAUAUGUAUUUUUCAUUAACAAGAACAUAUCAGUGCCAGGUUCUGUUGUAAGUACAAAUGUGGGCCUCUUUAAUUUUUUAAAUAUAGACAGUAAUUCUGUGAGUUGGAUAUUAUUGCUACCUUUAUAGAUUAUGAAACUUAGUGUCAAGAUAUCAGGCUUGCCUGAGGACAUGUGACUAGUUAUAGAGAUGUGCUUUCAACUCCAAACCAGUGAUCAGUAGAACUUAAUAAUAACGUAGUUGCAUGCCAGGUGUAUUUCUGCUUGGGAAUGUGAUUGCUGUGCUGGGAGGAGCAGGAGAUUGGAAACAGGGGUAGACCUUAGAUAGCUGCAGUUGUAUGCUGAGCAGGAGAUUGUAAACAUAGUGUAUGGGAAAGAGAAGGCUUUAUUGCACAGAUUAGUUUACAUUUGGGCUUUUUUACCAGAUCUAUAUUUCUUUUUAGUUAUUUCUAUUGGAAACUUUAGAGCAAUGUAGGAUAUAGUUUUAACAUUAUAGAUUGACAAAUUUCCUUUAGAAGGUAGAUACUUAGUUUCAAAAGUAUUCAUUAAAAUGUAGUCGUCUCUUUGUAAACUGGUAAAUGGUUGUCAUAAAACAUAUAGUAUAAGUUUGUAGAAGUUUCCAUAGCAGUCUUUAAAAGAAAUUUUGGUAACUAAAUUUAGAAUUACUGUUUUGUGUAGCUUUGUAGGAAAUAUCUACCAUGUAUGAUGAAGUAUGUCUCUUUAAGUAUACUGUGUAAUUGUUUGAGUAAUUGAAAGAUGGAGACUUGAGACUAUUUUUAGUAAUGGGAAAACAAUGUCUAAAAGCAGGAUAACAUAAAAAGUCUAAAGUGCUGGGUAUAGUGGUCCCUCCUUUAAUCUUAGCACUUGGAAGGAAUAGGCAGGCAGACCUCGAUGAAUUUGGUUUCCAUGAUGAGUUCCAGGUCAAGCAAGACUCCAAAGCAAGACCCUAGC